UACCUGGUUGAUCCUGCCAGUAGUCAUAUGCUUGUCUCAAAGAUUAAGCCAUGCAAGUCUAAGUACGAGCUCUCGUACAGUGAAACUGCGAAUGGCUCAUUAAAUCAGUUAUGGUUCAUUUGAUCGUACAGUUUACUUGGAUAACUGUGGUAAUUCUAGAGCUAAUACAUGCGAGAAGCGCCGACCUCGCGGGAGGCGUGCAUUUAUCAGACCAAAAACCGGCCGCGUCUUCGGGCGCGUUCGCCUUGGUGACUCUGGAUAACUUUGCGGAUCGCACGGUCUAGCACCGGCGACGGAUCAUUCAAGUGUCUGCCCUAUCAACUUUCGUCGGUACGGUAUUUGCCUACCGAGGUUCUUACGGGUGACGGGGAAUCAGGGUUCGAUUCCGGAGAGGGAGCCUGAGAAACGGCUACCACAUCCAAGGAAGGCAGCAGGCGCGCAAAUUACCCAUUCCCGACGCGGGGAGGUAGUGACGAAAAAUAACAAUGCAGGACUCGUUCGAGGCCCUGUAAUUGGAAUGAGUACACUUUAAAAGCUUUAACGAGUAUCCAUUGGAGGGCAAGUCUGGUGCCAC
rnacentral:ncRNA from 1 species